rnacentral:siRNA from 1 species
GAAGAUUGUGAUAAGGCAUAUGG